rnacentral:rRNA from 1 species
ACGAACGCUGGCGGCGUGCUUAACACAUUCAAGUCGAACGGAAAGGCCCUGCUUUUGUGGGGUGCUCGAGUGGCGAACGGGUGAGUAACACGUGAGUAACCUGCCCUUGACUUUGGGAUAACUUCAGGAAACUGGGGCUAAUACCGGAUAAGAGCUCCUGCUUCCUGGUGGGGGUUGGAAAGUUUCGGCGGUUGGGGAUGGACUCGCGGCUUAUCAGCUUGUUGGUGGGGUAGUGGCUUACCAAGGCUUUGACGGGUAGCCGGCCUGAGAGGGUGACCGGCCACAUUGGGACUGAGAUACGGCCCAGACUCCUACGGGAGGCAGCAGUGGGGAAUAUUGCACAAUGGGCGGAAGCCUGAUGCAGCAACGCCGCGUGCGGGAUGACGGCCUUCGGGUUGUAAACCGCUUUCGCCUGUGACGAAGCGUGAGUGACGGUAAUGGGUAAAGAAGCACCGGCUAACUACGUG